rnacentral:rRNA from 1 species
CCUACGGGUGGCUGCAGUGAGGAAUAUUGGUCAAUGGGCGCGAGCCUGAACCAGCCAAGUCGCGUGAGGGAAGACGGCCCUACGGGUUGUAAACCUCUUUUGCCGGGGAGCAACGGGCGCCACGUGUGGCGCCAUUGAGAGUACCCGGAGAAAAAGCAUCGGCUAACGCCGUGCCAGCAGCCGUGGUAAUACGGAGGGUGCGAGCGUUAUCCGGAUUUAUUGGGUUUAAAGGGUGCGUAGGGGGAGGGGUAAGGCAGGGGUCAAAUUGUGGGGGUAAACCCUCUCCCCGCAGUGGAAAUGGGCGCUCUUGAGUGGAGGAGAGGUGGGCGGAAGGCGUGGUGGAGCGGUGAAAUGCAUAGAUAUCACGAAGAACCCCGAUUGCGAAGGCAGCAUGCCGGCUUCCAACUGACGCUGAAGCACGAAAGCGUGGGGAUCGAACAGGAUUAGAUACCCUAGUAGUC